rnacentral:rRNA from 1 species
AUUGAACGCUGGCGGCAGGCCUAACACAUGCAAGUCGAACGAGUGGCGGACGGGUGAGUAAUGUCUGGGAAACUGCCUGAUGGAGGGGGAUAACUACUGGAAACGGUAGCUAAUACCGCAUACCAUCGGAUGUUCCCAGAUGGGAUUAGCUAGUAGGUUGGGUAAAGGCGCACCUAGGCGACGAUCCCUAGCUGGUCUGAGAGGAUGACCAGCCACACUGGAACUGAGAAACGGUCCAGACUCAUACGGGAGGCAGCAGUGGGGAAUAUUGCACAAUGGGCGCAAGCCUGAUGCAGCCAUGCCGCGUGUAUGAAGAAGGCCAUAGGGUUGUAAAGUACUUUCAGUCGGGAGGCGUUACAGAAAGAAGAAGCACCGGCUAACUCCGUGCCAGCAGCCGCGGUAAUAC